rnacentral:rRNA from 1 species
UGGCGGUAAUUUCAGCUCCAAUAGCGUAUAUUUAAGUUGUUGCAGUUAAAAAGCUCGUAGUUGGAUUUCGGGUGGGUUCUAGCGGUCCGCCUAUGGUGAGUACUGCUAUGGCCCUCCUUUCUGUCGGGGACGGGCUUCUGGGCUUCACUGUCCGGGACUCGGAGUCGACGUGGUUACUUUGAGUAAAUUAGAGUGUUCAAAGCAGGCUUACGCCCUGAAUACUUUAGCAUGGAAUAACACGAUAGGACUCUGGCCUAUCUUGUUGGUCUGUAGGACCGGAGUAAUGAUUAAGAGGGACAGUCGGGGGCAUUCGUAUUUCAUUGUCAGAGGUGAAAUUCUUGGAUUUAUGAAAGACGAACUACUGCGAAAGCAUUUGCCAAGGAUGUUUUCAUUAAUCAAGAACGAAAGUUGGGGGCUCGAAGACGAUUAGAUACCGUCGUAGUCUCAACCAUAAACGAUGCCGACUAGGGAUUGGCGAAUGUUUUUUUAAUGACUUCGCCAGCACCUUAUGAGAAUUCCCAGUUAUUUGGGUUCCGGGGAGAUUAAUUGGUCAAGCA